rnacentral:rRNA from 1 species
CCUACGGGAGGCAGCAGUGGGGAAUAUUGGACAAUGGGGGCAACCCUGAUCCAGCCAUGCCGCGUGUGUGAAGAAGGCCCUCGGGUUGUAAAGCACUUUCAGUGAGGAAGAACGCCUGGUGGUUAAUACCCAUCAGGAAAGACAUCACUCACAGAAGAAGCACCGGCUAACUCCGUGCCAGCAGCCGCGGUAAUACGGAGGGUACGAGCGUUAAUCGGAAUUACUGGGCGUAAAGCGCGCGUAGGUGGCUUGAUAAGCCGGUUGUGAAAGCCCCGGGCUCAACCUGGGAACGGCAUCCGGAACUGUCAAGCUAGAGUGCAGGAGAGGAAGGUAGAAUUCCCGGUGUAGCGGUGAAAUGCGUAGAGAUCGGGAGGAAUACCAGUGGCGAAGGCGGCCUUCUGGACUGACACUGACACUGAGGUGCGAAAGCGUGGGUAGCAAACAGGAUUAGAUACCCGUGUAGUC